GAACGGGCGCCAGUGCAAUCGAAUAAACUAUCACCCCAAACUAAUAUAAUAUUUUUGAGAAAAUUCGAAAGAUACACCGUCAUGAUGUGUUCUUUUGAACGCGAACAUACUACGAACAUGCUACGAAACGACAAAUGAAAAUAAUUAAGAGAUAUUUAAUAAGUAUACAAAAUACACGCCAGCGGGUCAGGACGACGGUUUGCGCGCGCGUGUGCUGUAACAAUCAAACAUUACGCUCGGGGCGAAACUUCAAAAUGCGCCAUUAUGUAUUUUUAAUUACAAAAGAAUUGCGUCUAGGGCGUAGGCUCCUCUCGCCACAUUCUUGCGACGGCCCUUCGUUUACCUGACGAUUGUGUUUGGUCGUCGUUCCGUCAUGCGGAUUUGUGCGUACGCGGUACGCUACUACAGGGUGAGCGCAAGUACACGCGCCCGAGGACCGUUGGUUCAGGCUCAAGAGGAGCGCCCCAGCAAACCGGCCUUACCCGACCAUUGCAUUGCGAUUGAAAUGAAUGGUGAGCGAGAAAAUCAACAUUUGGACACCGUAUGUUGUACGCUGCUUGAGCACAUGCCUAAAUCUACAUCCCUCCAAAAUGCCUCGAUGGUGGUGCAGUAUAAAUGGUGAUUAUAUAUAGUUUUUGUUUUUAUUUUUUUCAGCUGCUGCAAAGGCAAUGGUCGCGUGUGUGCCGGACAAACAUUCUAUUGUUGUAGUUUAUAACACUGUACUCCGUUUCCAUCCGUCUUGAAACGACACUGUUUAUCUCGUUCGUAUAAAGUAUGAUUUCAAUAGAAGUUUUACAAUCGAAUGUCCUCUUAAAAAAAAAAAAAAAAAAAAACGUAAAUGACCGGAAUAUAUAAUAUACAUAGUGAGACAACAUUUAUUCUCCGUCACUAUUCGCCUACUUACGGUUGUCUAGACUUUAAUUGUUUACCUAUACACGAUUAUAAUACUACAUCACGCGUUCGAUAUUCCGUACAAAUGAAAAUUUGCA
rnacentral:lncRNA from 1 species